UUAUUUGUUUUUUUGGAGUUCAAAGCUUAGCAACAAAAUCCCACUUCUGCCAGCUGCCACUCACAGAAUAUGUUUUCAUUAGGAACGGGCCCCUUUCAUCAAAGACAUUGGUUUGAGCGUGCUUGAAAAGGAAAUGAACUGCCUCUGAGACUGUACGACUCUGGUCAUAUGGAAGCUCAGACAGAGUUCCAUGUGUACAUGAGUACAAUUAGCAAAACGGGGAAAAAAAACAGCUGAGCCUUGGAUGUUUUCCCCUCAUAUGUUUUUGUUAAUGUGAUUGUGGGCGUUCAGAGGUUUUACAAUAGUUACAGUGUCAUAAGCAGAUUAUUUUUGUUUACAAAAGCCUUGAUGUAGCCAGAAAUAAUAUAGACGCUGACAUCAAUGCAAGGGCAUUUCAUUCGCUUCUCGUUAUGAUCUGUGUGCAAAACGGAGCUGUCUUAUCAUGUAGGAGUUGGCAAAAACAAACUGGUUCGACACUUUUCAGCCCUCACCAUUGGCUUUUUACGUCUAGUUCGUAGGAAAUCAAAGACUUGGCAGUGUUUAAUGACUUGACUCUCUAUUUGACGCUUCAUUUAUUCAUUUUAGGGAAACCUCCAGAUUCAUCAGGUGCACGUCGGCCAGGACGGACAGGUACUUCGUGGAGCUCAGUUGAUAGCCGUUGCUUCAGCCGAUGGAGGAGCCACGGCAGUAGAGGGGUCUGCCCUCCCACCUGACAUCCAAGUGCAGUACGUGCAGCUAGCUCCUGUUUCAGAUCACGCAGCGGCUGUGCAGGCUGCUGAACUGGCACCGGCGUUGCAGGCUGAGAUGGAGGUGAAAGAAGCCAUCCAGGGUGCCAUCCACGGAGACAAUGGCGAGGUUGUCCAGAUUGUCAGCUCUGUGGCCACCUGAGAUCUCAUUUGAUACAUCGCAGACCUGAACUCUGCCAUGCAGCAUGGCCCAGUGUGUCUCUGUGGAAAAGUUUGACAAGCAAUCAAGCUAGAAAGUUUCUUAAGGUCACUGAUGAAACAGAGAGAGAGAAUUAUUUCUUUUCUUUUUCUUUGCAAACUGCUGGAUU